rnacentral:rRNA from 1 species
GACGAACGCUGGCGGCGUGCUUAACACAUGCAAGUCGAACGGAAAGGCCCGGCUUUUGUGGGGUGCUCGAGUGGCGAACGGGUGAGUAACACGUGAGUAACCUGCCCUUGACUUUGGGAUAACUUCAGGAAACUGGGGCGAAUACCGGAUAGGAGCUCCUGCUGCACGGUGGGGGUUGGAAAGUUUCGGCGGUUGGGGAUGGACGCGCGGCUUAUCAGCGUGUUGGUGGGGUAGUGGCGUACCAAGGCUUUGACGGGUAGCCGGCCUGAGAGGGUGACCGGCCCCAUUGGGCCUGAGGUGCGGCCCAGACUCCUACGGGAGGCAGCAGUGGGGAAUAUUGCGCGAUGGGCGGAAGCCUGAUGCAGCAACGCCGCGUGCGGGAUGACGGCCUUCGGGUUGUAAACCGCUUUCGCCUGUGACGAAGCGUGAGUGACGGUAAUGGGUAAAGAAGCACCGGCUAACUACGUG